rnacentral:rRNA from 1 species
UCCGUAGGUGAACCUGCGGAAGGAUCAUUAAAUGUAAAGGAUGUAUUUGUACAAACAAAUUACUUCUUUUUCAAACCCCCUACUGUGUAUCUUGACCUGUUGCUUCCGUGGCAUUUUUUUUUUUUUUUUAAAUUUUCAAAAAAAAAAUUAAAAAAAAAAAAAAAAAAACCACGAGAGAAAGGAAGGAAGAUAUUUUUUUUUUUCUUCUCCUCCUCUCUCUUUAGUGGGCCACGGAAGGUAAUUGUUUAUUAAAAUCACUGUGUAAUUUAUUGUCUUUUAAUUAGAAAACUAAAAGAAACAAUUGUUAAAACUUUCAACAACGGAUCUCUUGGUUCUCGCAUCGAUGAAGGAACGCAGCAAAAUGCGAUAAGUAAUGUGAAUUGCAGAAUUCAGUGAAUCAUCGAAUCUUUGAACGCACAUUGCGCCUUUGGAACUUUUGUCCCAGAGGCAUGCCUGUUCGAGCGUCAUUGCAAACC